rnacentral:rRNA from 1 species
UUAGGAAUAUUCCACAAUGGGGGCAACCCUGAUGGAGCAACGCCGCGUGGAGGAUGAAGGCCUUCGGGUCGUAAACUUCUUUUCUAUGUGAAGAAUAUGACGGUAACAUAGGAAUAAGGGUCUGCUAACUACGUGCCAGCAGCCGCGGUCAUACGUAGGACCCAAGCGUUAUCCGGAUUGACUGGGCGUAAAGAGUUGCGUAGGUGGUUUGUCAAGCGAAUAGUGAAAUCUUGUGGCUCAACCAUGAGGCUAUUAUUCGAACUGAUAAACUCGAGAGGAGGAGAGGUAUCUGGAAUUCCCGGUGUAGGAGUGAAAUCCGUAGAUAUUGGGAGGAACACCAACGGCGUAGGCAGGAUACUGGACUCUUUCUGACACUAAGGCACGAAAGCGUGGGGAGCGAACCGGAUUAGAUACCGGGUAGUCCACGCCGUAACUAUGGAUGCUAGCUGUAUGCCGUAUCGACCCGGUAUGUAGCGAAGCUAACGCGUUAAGCAU